rnacentral:lncRNA from 1 species
UGUAAACUAACGACCGAAAGACAGGCGACAUUGUUUUGUUGGUAUCUAAAAGUCUUCGUCGGAACAAUAUAUCGGUAGAACUUACUAAGAAAAAUACCACCGGAGAAGAAAAUGUUAUCAACGAUCUUAAAAAAUAGAAAACAAGUAGCGGCGAAUCCUUUUUCCUUACCGGUCGACUAAUUAUAAGAUAAUUGUAUUAAUGGACGAUCGAAGAGUCGGCUACUACAAAGACCGGGCGAAAAGCAGAAUGUCUACUUUUGUGGGAUAGUUUGAUUAGGAGAGGGUGGAGUUUCUUUCGAUCAUCCUAAAGGACGUAAAAUUCGGCGGGGGAAAACCAGAAGAACGACACCUUUCAUUAUCUCAUGCGAGGCACGUGGCUGGGUGCACGACAACUUUCUCGGAGCUGCGUUUUUCAUCUUGAUAAUUAUCUCGGUCCCCCGAGGGUGUCUCAUGUAGAUUAAGUUCUGCAAAAACCUCCGAGUAUGUAAACGGGAUAACAUCGUGCAGUUUCAAUAUAUUUAUUGGUAGGAAUGGAAAAAAUUUUACUGUUCGACGUAUUAAUUAACUGCGGGAUAUCGGACUUAAUGUUAUCCAUUGAACCAUUGACUUAUGAAAAAGAAAAGAAAAAGAAUGUAAUUUCGUAACUACAUAGAAUAUUAUAUUAAAUAUUCAAUGAAUAACUUAGGUUAGAGAUGAAGUUGCAAAAGGCGUGUCACAAUCAAAAAGCGAUGAUGUCGCGAAUGAUACGGAUACCUGGAGUUUAAUAAGAGAAAGUUUGUUUAAUUCAAUA